UUUAGAAUAAUUUAAUUAAAAUAUUAAUUUUGGAUAUUAAACUUAAGCUAUGCUUUUCUUUAU
rnacentral:tRNA from 1 species